rnacentral:rRNA from 1 species
CCCAGACUCCUACGGGAGGCAGCAGUGGGGGAUAUUGCACAAUGGGGGGAACCCUGAUGCAGCGACGCCGCGUGGGUGAAGAGGCGCCUCGGCGCGUAAAGCCCUGUCAGCAGGGAAGAAAAUGACGGUACCUGACUAAGAAGCCCCGGCUAACUACGUGCCAGCAGCCGCGGUAAUACGGAGGAUGCGAGCGUUAUCCGGAUUUAUUGGGUUUAAAGGGUGCGUAGGCGGACUGGAAAGUCAGCGGUAAAAUCGAGAGGCUCAACCUCUUUCCGCCGUUGAAACUGUCGGUCUUGAGUGGGCGAGAAGUAUGCGGAAUGCGUGGUGUAGCGGUGAAAUGCAUAGAUAUCACGCAGAACUCCGAUUGCGAGGGCAGCAUACCGGCGCCCGACUGACGCUGAGGCACGAAAGCGUGGGUAUCGAACAGGAUUAGAUACCCCAGUA